AUACGUAGGGGGCUAGCGUUGUCCGGAAUGAUUGGGCGUAAAGGGCGCGUAGGCGGCCUUCUAAGUCCGAUGUGAAAGUCCUGGCUUUUAAGGUGGGAAUUGCAUUGGAAACUGGAGGGCUUGAGUGCAGGAGAGGUAAGUGGAAUUCCCGGUGUAGCGGUGAAAUGCGUAGAGAUCGGGAGGAACACCAGUGGCGAAGGCGACUUACUGGACUGUAACUGACGCUGAGGCGCGAAAGUGUGGGGAGC
rnacentral:rRNA from 1 species